rnacentral:rRNA from 1 species
CAUGCAAGUCGUACGAGAGUUUUUAACUCAAGUGGCGGACGGGUGAGUAACACGUGAGAAUUUGCCUUUAGGAGGGGGAUAACAGAGUGAAAACGCUGCUAAUACCCCAUAUGCUUUCGAGUGAAAUGGAUUUAUUCGCCUAAAGAGAAGCUCGCGGCUGAUUAGCUUGUUGGUAAGGUAAUGGCUUACCAAGGCGACGAUCAGUAUCUGGUUUGAGAGGACGAUCAGACACACUGGAACUGAGACACGGUCCAGACUCCUACGGGAGGCAGCAGUGGGGAAUUUUCCGCAAUGGGCGAAAGCCUGACGGAGCAAUACCGCGUGAGGGAAGACGGCCUAUGGGUUGUAAACCUCUUUUCUCAGGGAGGAAAUCAAUGACGUUACCUGAGGAAUAAGCAUCGGCUAACUCCGUGCCAGCAGCCGCGGUAAGACGGAGGAUGCAAGUGUUAUCCGGAAUCACUGGGCGUAAAGCGUCUGUAGGUGGCUUAACAAGUCAACUGUUAAAUCUUGAAGCUCAACUUCAAGAUCGCAGUCGAAACUGUUAGGCUAGAGUAUAGUAGGGGUAAAGGGAAUUUCCAGUGGAGCGGUGAAAUGCGUAGAGAUUGGAAAGAACACCGAUGGCGAAGGCACUUUACUGGGCUAUUACUGACACUCAGAGACGAAAGCUAGGGUAGCAAAUGGGAUUAGAUACCCCAGUAGUCCUAGCCGUAAACAAUGGAUACUAGAUGUUGGGCAGAUCGACCUGUUCAGUAUUAAAGCUAACGCGUUAAAGAUCCCGCCUGGGAAGUAUGCGCGCCAAGCGUGAACUCAAAGGAAUGACCGGGGCCCGCACAAGCCGGUGGACCAUGUGGUUUAAUCCAUGCACCGAGAACUUACAGGGUUUGACAUGAUACGAUUUUUGAAGAAAAGUGCCGUGGGAACGUACCCAGUGGUGCAUGCCG